rnacentral:rRNA from 1 species
AGGACGAACGCUGGCGGCGUGCUUAACACAUGCAAGUCGAGCGGAAAGGCCCUUCGGGGUACUCGAGCGGCGAACGGGUGAGUAACACGUGAGCAAUCUGCCCUUAGCUUCGGGAUAGCCCCGGGAAACCGGGAUUAAUACCGAAUACGACCUCGGCCGACAUCGGCUUUGGUGGAAAGUUUUUCGGCUAGGGAUGAACUCGCGGCCUAUCAGCUUGUUGGUGGGGUAAUGGCCUACCAAGGCGACGACGGGUAGCCGGCCUGAGAGGGCGACCGGCCACACUGGGACUGAGACACGGCCCAGACUCCUACGGGAGGCAGCAGUGGGGAAUAUUGCGCAAUGGGCGAAAGCCUGACGCAGCGACGCCGCGUAGGGGAUGAAGGCCUUCGGGUUGUAAACCCCUUUCAGCAGGGACGAAGCGAGAGUGACGGUACCUGCAGAAGAAGCGCCGGCUAACUACGCACCAGCAGCCGC